UACGGAGGGUGCGAGCGUUAUUCGGAAUUACUGGGCGUAAAGCGCGUGUAGGCGGCGUGAUAAGCCGGUUGUGAAAGACCCGGGCUCAACCUGGGAACCGCAUCCGGAACUGUCAGGCUAGAGUGCAGGAGAGGAAGGUAGAAUUCCCGGUGUAGCGGUGAAAUGCGUAGAGAUCAGGAGGAAUGCCAGUGGCGAAGGCGGCCUUCUGGACUGACACUGACGCUGAGGUGCGAAAGUGUGGGAGCAAACAGG
rnacentral:misc_RNA from 1 species